rnacentral:rRNA from 1 species
UACGGAGGGGGCUAGCGUUGCUCGGAAUUACUGGGCGUAAAGGGCGCGUAGGCGGCUUUGUAAGUCAGGCGUGAAAGGCCCGGGCUCAACCCGGGAAAUGCGCUUGAGACUGCAGGGCUCGAGUUCGGGAGAGGGUAGUGGAAUUCCCAGUGUAGAGGUGAAAUUCGUAGAUAUUGGGAAGAACACCAGUGGCGAAGGCGGCUACCUGGACCGAUACUGACGCUAAGGCGCGAAAGCGUGGGGAGCAAACAGG